UUGCUCACAGAAAUAAAAUUGCAUCGCAACUGAGGGACAUACAAAACGUGUUUUAGCUUUAACAAAAAUUUAUCACUUUCAAUGUGUACUUCACCAACUCCUUCUGCUUCUACAUAUUUUGCACCAGCGAGUUCUAUUUUCUCAGUUCUCUCUUCGUAUGUUACAAAUAACGAUCGAUCACAACAGAGGUGUGCACGUCACGUCACGACGUAUUUUGAAGGAAGAAGCAGAAGCGAGAAUAGCUAACUAUUUGUUAUUUCUUUGCUGUUCUACUCUUUUCGCGGUUCUCUACAGUUGGCAGCAAAAAUUUUGCCCAAAUUUUCCGCAGUUCUAACAUCUUCCCGUUGCCUUUUUUGUUCGCUGUUUCUUGACGAGUGAAGUUCUGCGUUACUGCUGACGUCGCUGCCACCUUUGAUGCUCCCGUUAGGAUUUUUCUGGAACUUAGCUCUCGCAACUAACGCCUGGUGCGAUUCGGAAUUAACGGAUUUUUCGCCGUUAGGUCUAGCACCCUCUUCGAGCAAUUUCAACUUAAGUACAUUCAAUGUAGGCAAUGUAUCACGUGAUUCAAUGGCCACUACAAAAUUUUCGAAUUAUUUUGGCAAACUUGCCAACAAAAUUAUGGGUGCCACCUCAUCUGGAAGGUUAACACCUAUUUCAGACAACCUCUCCUGAACUUCGAAAAAUUCAGUUACAUGAUUUGAAAUUAUAUCACCUUCUGCAACUUUUAAUGAUGGUAACUGUCGAAAUUUUCUUGCAGGGUUACUGGGUUGAUGAAUCUCCUUCAACUUAUUCCAUUCUGCUCCUGCUGUCAGACAAUGAUUCACUACUGGCUAACUUGCGAUGGCUUGAUGCAAAACAAUAUGCUUGCCAGCGCCAUCUUUUAGAUCGAAUGCCGUCACUUCUUCUACCGAUGAAUAUUCACUUUUUGAUAGCUUUCCGCUAACUACCGCCCACUACUCUGAGUGAACCAGUAUGAACCAGUGCUCUUCAUAUGGAUUGACCACGAAACAUAAUUCGCAUCAUCGAGUUUUUCGAUGGCGUACAAACCACUACCACUCGUUUUUUAUUAAUUAUGGCAAACACUCUUGUGACCUGGGCCCAUAACCUGUUGGAGAGUGGAGAAUUGAUUCUUAGCCGAUUAAGAGGAAAUGAAACAAUAUGUAUCUUCUUUCUAGAACGUUUUAUUGGCAACUAACUUAAAUGGUACAAAAAGAAAUUCAGGAAUAUAGCUGAGAGAGUUGAAUUUAAUUUCAAAUACAGUUAUGAAAAAUAUUAUUUAUAGCUCAAUUACGAGCUGUGAUAGCUUAUGACAACCCAACAUAAUUAUGUUAGCUAAGUCUUCUAUACAAAAUAAGCUAAUAGCUAAAUUUGCUGGUCAAAUAAAACACACCUAUUAAUACUGUAGCGAAAAUGGCACCAGAAAAAACUAGAAUUGACCGUCGAAAUCGAUAACUUGCCAGAUGUAUCUAGAUAUCGAUAUUCGUAGUUGCCUGAAUGUUCGAGUGCCGAUGUAUCGUUUACAAUCGACUAUAUAAGGGCUGCCUGACUGGCAGCAAGACACCGUUCUGAUAAGAGAGAAGAAAUCCGUUACAAUACAGUAAAUAGAGACAGACUCCCAAGCCAUGGUGAGCGUUCGGUAAUCAAAUACAGUACUUUUCGUUUAAUUGGCCCUAUGGUUAAUUGGUUUCCCCGUUUAAUUGAACGGUGUUAUCGGGCAAAAAAUAUAGCACAUGUAAAUUUUCUCGGAAAAUUGGACUGGGUUAAUUUCUUUUCCCACUUGGUUGGUUCAAAAUAUAUGUCAUCAAAAAUCAUUUUUCUUUUAAAUUUCCCCGGUUAAUUUCACCAAAUAAUAUUGUUGAAAAAACUUAUCUUCUAAUCAACACAGUAUAAUUUUUUAAUAAUAAAUUUGAAUAACAAAUAUAUAUCUAUACUAAUAUAUAAAGCUGAAGAGUUUGUUUGUUUGUUUGUUUGAACGCGCUAAUCUCCGAAACUACUGGUUCGAAUUGAAUAAUUCUUUUUGUGUUGGAUAGUCCAUUUAUCGAGGAAGGCUAUAGGCUAUAUAGAUAGGAUGCGAGGAAACAGUGGUAAAUGUGUAAAAAACGGGGGAAAUUAUUUAUCUUUGAGGGCUUCCGUUCCUUGCGCUGCGAAAGUGGUUCAAGAUACACAAAAGUUAUGUAUGAAUUUUUUGAAUAUGUAGAUAUUUUUUUGUUUUAGUAUAUUACUUUGUUUCUAAUAGUUUCACAGUAAUUAAUACUUUUUUUGUUUUCAUGUAGAUUAUUAAUUAAAUAAGUAGUUUAGUUGAGUAUAAACUUGAGAGUCGAAUUGCAGGAAGACCAGUCUGGAGAAGUGUUUUGCAAACAACUGCUCGAUAUUGGUAAUGGUAUUAUUGCUGUUGAUACAUCAUCUGGAUACAUUACAUUCCUUACCAAUUUUUGUAAAUUUUGUGAAUCAAAGACCGAACUCAUGGAGAUGGUUUUCCCAAACAUUGCUCAAAAUUACGUAAAUCACGUUUGGUUAAGCGAACGUGUUAUAUUGGCCGCAAAAAAUGUUGAUGUGAAUGAAAUGAAUUUUCAGAUUCAAGAGAAUAUAUCUGGCGAAUUGAAGAAUUACAUAUCAGUUGAUCCCAUUACUAAAGAAGAUGAAGUUGUCAAUUAUCCAUCAGAAUUUUUAUAUUCGCUGGAAAUGUCCUCAUAAUCCACAAUUAAAAAUCGGAUCAGUUAUUUGGGGUACUCACAACGUGUCAUAAAGUUAUAAGUCAUAAACAAAAAUUAAGACAAAAUACAUUGGUUGUGAACACGUCGUUAUAAAUUUGUUGUCGUAAAUCACUUAUCAAUCAGCUGAUUGAAAAAACAUAAAGUACAAUAUUCGCAAAAAUAAGUAUUUCGUAGUCGAAAUGCCAAGGAGAGGUGAAAAUUUUAAAACAAUGGAUGCGCUGUGCAAGAAUCAGGCAUUAAACCUGAUGAUACUUGACUCAAGCGACGACGAAGAUGCGGACGAAAUGUUUGAAAAUUUUUCAUUGAGUUUACUUUGUUUAUUAAACACUCGUAGAAGUGUUCAUCUCGGAAUACCAAAGUCAUCCCAAUGGCGACAUAAUGUACUUAGGAACUUUGAUGACAACCAUUUCAACGAAAUGAUUCGUGUUCGCCCGGACGAAUUUCGCCGCAUACUAAAUUAUAUAAAGGACGAUAGUGUAUUUAACACAAAUUCUAGUGGAGCGCAACUUCCUUUAGAUUUACAAUUAAAAAUAGUGCUAUUUAGGUUAGGAUCUUCCGGAGAUGGAUUAUCUAUACGAAAGGUUGCUUCGUUGUUUGGCGUGGGUGAUGGGGGCACAAAUUAUAACUAAACGCGUAUUUAAAGCAAUAUUGAAAUUAAAAGAGAAGUUUCUGUUUUGGCCAAAUGAAAAUGAACGGUUGGAAAUUGUUACUGCAACGCGGAAAGAGAUGCCAGGUUGUAUAGGAUA